GAAGGCUAAUCAUGUUUUGGGUGUACUAUUCCUUCAAAGUUCUCCGGCAUAGUGGCAGAUUUCCAGCUUGCAUCAACUGUGGUUGUAUUAGAAGAAAUGGGAUUGUGUAUUGAAAUGCAUAUUUUAAAACCAUCAGAAAAGGUUUCUGCUCCAGAUAGUUAACAAGCUAGCUGUUAACUGAUGCAGGGCUGCCGAUAGCACGGCUUGGUAGUGAUCUGAAAAGGGGUCCCUAUGUCCUCCAGCAGUCUAAGCCUAUAGCAGCAUAACUAUAGAGAUAGCUCUGGAUAACCUGAGCCACUCUAACUAUAAGCUUUAUCAAAAAGGAAAGUUUUAAGCAUUGCCUUAAGAGCAGACAUGGUGUCUCCCUCCGAGGCUAAAACUGGUAGUUGGUUCCACAGGAGAGAAGCCUGAUAACUAAAAGAUUUGUAUCCCAUUCUAUUUUUAGAAGUUCUAGGAACCACUAGUAAACCUGCAGACUGACAGACCGCCUGCAGGAUUAUGUUGGAAAAGAGGAGGAUUUCUCUGACCAUCAGCUCUGUGGACAGGGGAGGAAAUCCAGUUUGGACCAAGAGGAAUCUGAACAUCCGCAGAUAAAAGAAGAGCAUCAAAAGCCAGAACAUCCCUGUAUAAAAGAGGAAACCAUGGAGCUCCCCAUAAGUGAGCAAAAAGAACAGCUUGUUCUUAAGCAGACGAUUAAAGAUACAAGAGAGAAUCCUUUCCCAUGUUUGACAUGUGGAGAAAACUUUCUUAAAAAAAAGCAUUUAAUGGUUCACAUGAGAACU